GCUGCAGUAAGGGUAGGAAGUUCAAAGAUGGAACGUGCAGCUGGGCGCAGCUUCCAGCCCCCUGUACGGGCUGCAGCGUGGCUCUGGGAAGGCCUCCUGAGAUACCCGGACGCAGCAGAGAAAAGCCAAAGCAGCUUCUGAGCAAACAUCUUCUAAAGAACCCAAACCUUUCCAAAGCUAACAAGGAAAGGAUUUCUUCCUCCAACUGAAGUGGAGUUAGCAAGGUUGUGAUGAAGCACUGCAUGCCGAGACCUGUACAAUGUCAGCGAUGAAUGUGUAUUAAGAUGAGAAGAUUCAUAAAACUCUGGGCAAAAAGAUUGGCCCCAUCUCUCUACUGCCUGAUGUAUACAUCGUUAUUUCAACAGCAGACAAACAGAACAGAAUGUUUAUAGGAGCAUGCAGAUGAUUCAUUAGUCCUUGCUGAUGGUGUUGUCUUCAAACCAAAGGAUGUUGAAGAUCAUGAGAGGAGGAAGAAGGAAGAAAGAGAAGGCACAAAGCACAAGUAAUGUGGUGCACUUUAGCAAUCUCUGCAAUCCUAAAUCACCCCUGUGUGCAUCCCUUGAAGAUAUAGAUACAGAUAUGGAUACACAGAGGCAAGAAUGGAAGGAAAGCAUCAAGAAGCACAUAA